rnacentral:rRNA from 1 species
GGCCUAUCAGCUUGUUGGUGAGGUAAAAGCUCACCAAGGCAAUGACAGGUAGCGGGUGUGAGAGCAUGGCCCGUCUCACUGGGACUGAGAACUGCCCAGACUCCUACGGGAGGCUGCAGUCACGAAUCUUCCUCAAUGGCCGAAAGGCUGAGGGAGCGACGCCGCGUGCACGAAGAAGCCCUUCGGGGUGUAAAGUGCUUUUGUGAAGGAAGAAGUCCUUUUAGGAUUGACGGUACUUCACGAAUAAGGGGCUGCCAAUCUCGUGCCAGCAGCAGCGGUAACACGAGAGCCCCAAGCGUUAUCCGGAUUUACUGGGCGUAAAGGGUCCGUAGGCGGUUUAUCACAUCUCCUGUUAAAUCUCUUAGCUUAACUAAGAGGCCGCAGGAGAGAUGGAUAAACUAGAGGCCGGGAGAGGCGGGCGGAAUUGCCGGUGUAGGGGUUAAAUCCGUUAAUAUCGGCAAGAACACCAAAUGCGAAGGCAGCCCGCUAGAACGGUUCUGACGCUGAGGGACGAAAGCGUGGGGAGCGAAGAGGAUUAGAUACCCUCGUAGUCCACGCCGUAAACGCUGGAUGCUAAGUAUUGGGAGUUGUCGACCCUCCCAGUGCUGUUUACCUAAGUUAACACGUUAAGCAUCCCGCCUGGGGAGUACGG